UGGGGAAUCUUCCACAAUGGGCGCAAGCCUGAUGGAGCAACACCGCGUGAGUGAAGAAGGGUUUCGGCUCGUAAAGCUCUGUUGUUAAAGAAGAACACGUAUGAGAGUAACUGUUCAUACGUUGACGGUAUUUAACCAGAAAGUCACGGCUAACUACGUGCCGG
rnacentral:rRNA from 1 species